rnacentral:rRNA from 1 species
UGGGGAAUAUUGGACAAUGGGCGCAAGCCUGAUCCAGCCAUGCCGCGUGAGUGAUGAAGGCCUUAGGGUUGUAAAGCUCUUUCACCGGUGAAGAUAAUGACGGUAACCGGAGAAGAAGCCCCGGCUAACUUCGUGCCAGCAGCCGCGGUAAUACGAAGGGGGCUAGCGUUGUUCGGAUUUACUGGGCGUAAAGCGCACGUAGGCGGAUCGAUCAGUCAGGGGUGAAAUCCCAGGGCUCAACCCUGGAACUGCCUUUGAUACUGUCGAUCUGGAGUAUGGAAGAGGUGAGUGGAAUUCCGAGUGUAGAGGUGAAAUUCGUAGAUAUUCGGAGGAACACCAGUGGCGAAGGCGGCUCACUGGUCCAUUACUGACGCUGAGGUGCGAAAGCGUGGGGAGCAAA